rnacentral:rRNA from 1 species
GACGAACGCUGGCGGCAUGCCUAAUACAUGCAAGUCGAGCGAACAGAUGAAGUGCUUGCACUUCUGACGUUAGCGGCGAACGGGUGAGUAACACGUAAGGAAUCUACCUAUAAGCGGGGGAUAACAUUCGGAAACGGGUGCUAAUACCGCAUAGUAUCUUCUUCCGCAUGGAAGAAGAUCGAAAGACGGCUCUGCUGUCACUUAUAGAUGACCUUGCGGUGCAUUAGUUAGUUGGUGGGGUAAUGGCCUACCAAGACGAUGAUGCAUAGCCGACCUGAGAGGGUGAUCGGCCACAUUGGGACUGAGACACGGCCCAAACUCCUACGGGAGGCAGCAGUAGGGAAUCUUCCGCAAUGGGCGAAAGCCUGACGGAGCAAUGCCGCGUGAGUGAAGAAGGCCUUCGGGUCGUGAAACUCUGUUAUAAGAGAAGAACAAAUUGUAGAGUAACUGCUACAGUCUUGACGGUAUCUUAUCAGAAAGCCACGGCUAACUACGUGCCAGCCGCCGCAGUAA